UUCAAAAAGUUAGAGAUGCGGUUGCGUUUCUUUUUUGUAAUGCUAAUAGGGGAAGACUUAGAGAUUUUAAGAAUGCUUGUGUGGAAAAUAACCUUAGACCUAGGAAAAUUCAAGUAGAAAUUGAGACUAGGUGAAACUACACUUACAUUAUGCUACAACAAGCAUAUGAGUAUAGGAUUCCCAUACAAUAAGUUCACAACAAAUAUAAUAUUAAUAAUGAUGAUUGGUUAAAUUUUACGCAUUGGGAAGAUGUUAAGGAAUGUGUUGAACUCUUAGAAUUUUUUUAUAAUGCAACUCUUGCUUUUUCUAAAUAAUUCUAUCCCACGGUAAUCGAAAUUUUAGCCUACUUAGCGAAAAUAGCUAGAGUUUUACAAGAGUAUAAAUAUAAACCCGGUUAUCAAGCGGCUAUUUUUGAUAUGACAACAAAAUUUAAGAAGUUUUUUUUCCCAUCCCAACUUUAUUUAUAUUGGGUUCUCUUUUAAAUCCUUGUUUAAAAGUGUUUUAUACUAAAGCAUUGGUUGGUCAAAUUUAUACAUUUUUAGAAAUUAAAGAGGGAGUUCAACCAUCUUUAGCUGAAGCCGAACUCUCUAUUGAUGACGAGUUUAGAAAAGUUUUUACUCAUUAUUCUUAUUUAGAAGAACAUGCUACACCCGUUGCUCCACGCCCUACUACUUCUCAAAGUAGCAAAAAGGGCUUGUCGGGUUUGUCGCAUUUAAAAGUUUUACAUUCACAGCCAACUCCUUCUUGUAAUGCAAACUUUGAUGAAUAUAACUUUUAUUUGAUGCAGCCAAAUGUAGAUAUCAAGGAACUAGAUGAGUUGGACGUCUUAGCAUGGUGGAAGAAAUACAAGGCAAGUCAUCCGAUACUCUCAAGAAUGGCUCGAGAUAUCCUUACGGUUCAAGUAUCAACCGUGGCUUCGGAGAUGUGCAUUCGCGAUUGGAUUAGAUCGAAGUGACGCAACCAAAACUUAGAAGCGGAUGAAGGCGAAGAGGAAGAGAUUGAAGAUUUGAUAGCAAGUGGACCGGACCAAAUGGAAUACUUUGAAGAUAUCUCCAUGGCCGAAUAUGAUAUGGGGGAAAUUAACCAAAUGAUUGAGAAUUAGUGAUUUUAUUAUUAUACUAUUUCUUUGUAACUCAUGUAUUAUUUGCAAGUUAAAAAAAAUACAACUUGCAAAUAAAUGUUAUCCAAGAAUGAAUAAAAUAUAUGGCUCAUUGAGAUUUCUUCUA